rnacentral:tRNA from 1 species
GAGGAUAUAGCUCAGUGGUAGAGUGAGUGCCUAGCAGGAAUGAGAUCCUGGGUUCAAUCCCCAGUACCUCCA